GACGAACCGUGCAAACGUUAUUCGGAAUCACUGGGCAUAAAGGGCGCGUAGGCGGCUUUCUAAGUCAGGGGUGAAAUCCGGCAGCUCAACUGUCGCAGUGCCUUUGAUACUGGAGAGCUCGAGGGAGGUAGGGGUCUGUGAAACUUCCGGUGGAGCGGUGAAAUGCGUUGAUAUCGGAAGGAACGCCGGUGGCGAAAGCGACGGACUGGAUCUCUUCUGACGCUGAGGCGCGAAAGCCAGGGGAGCAAACGGG
rnacentral:rRNA from 1 species